CUUGCUUCUCUUGAGAGCGGCGGACGGGUGAGUAAUGCCUAGGAAUCUGCCUGGUAGUGGGGGAUAACGUUCGGAAACGGACGCUAAUACCGCAUACGUCCUACGGGAGAAAGCAGGGGACCUUCGGGCCUUGCGCUAUCAGAUGAGCCUAGGUCGGAUUAGCUAGUUGGUGGGGUAAUGGCUCACCAAGGCGACGAUCCGUAACUGGUCUGAGAGGAUGAUCAGUCACACUGGAACUGAGACACGGUCCAGACUCCUACGGGAGGCAGCAGUGGGGAAUAUUGGACAAUGGGCGAAAGCCUGAUCCAGCCAUGCCGCGUGUGUGAAGAAGGUCUUCGGAUUGUAAAGCACUUUAAGUUGGGAGGAAGGGUUGUAGAUUAAUACUCUGCAAUUUUGACGUUACCGACAGAAUAAGCACCGGCUAACUCUGUGCCAGCAGCCGCGGUAAUACAGAGGGUGCAAGCGUUAAUCGGAAUUACUGGGCGUAAAGCGCGCGUAGGUGGUUUGUUAAGUUGGAUGUGAAAUCCCCGGGCUCAACCUGGGAACUGCAUUCAAAACUGACUGACUAGAGUAUGGUAGAGGGUGGUGGAAUUUCCUGUGUAGCGGUGAAAUGCGUAGAUAUAGGAAGGAACACCAGUGGCGAAGGCGACCACCUGGACUAAUACUGACACUGAGGUGCGAAAGCGUGGGGGAGCAAACAGGAUUAGAUACCCU
rnacentral:rRNA from 1 species